UACGUAGGAUGCAAGCGUUGUCCGGAUUUAUUGGGCGUAAAGCGAACGUAGGCGGUUUCUUAAGUUUGGUCUUAAAGACCGGGGCUCAACCCCGGGAAUGGACUGAAUACUGGGAGACUAGAGGAUGUUAGAGGAAAGUGGAAUUCCAAGUGUAGCGGUGAAAUGCGUAGAUAUUUGGAGGAACACCGGUGGUGUAAACGGCUUUCUGGACCGUAACUGACGCUGAUGCACGAAAGCGUGGGUAGCAAACAGG
rnacentral:rRNA from 1 species